rnacentral:rRNA from 1 species
UACGGGGGGAGCAAGCGUUGUUCGGAUUUACUGGGCGUAAAGGGCGCGUAGGCGGCCACCGCAAGUCGAUUGUGAAAUCUCCGGGCUUAACCCGGAAAGGUCAACCGAUACUGCGGGGCUAGAGUGCAGAAGGGGCAACUGGAAUUCUCGGUGUAGCGGUGAAAUGCGUAGAUAUCGAGAGGAACACCUGCGGCGAAGGCGGGUUGCUGGGCUGACACUGACGCUGAGGCACGAGAGCUAGGGGAGCAAACAGG